rnacentral:rRNA from 1 species
UGCCGGCGACCGGCGCACGGGUGCGGAACGCGUAUGGAACCUGCCCCUGUCAGGGGAAUAGCCCAGGGAAACUUGGAUUAAUGCCCCAUGGUACCGUUACAUCGCAUGAUGUUUCGGUUAAAGAUUUAUCGGACAGGGAUGGCCAUGCGUACCAUUAGUUAGUUGGCGGGGUAACGGCCCACCAAGGCAGCGAUGGUUAGGGGCCCUGAGAGGGGGAUCCCCCACACUGGUACUGAGACACGGACCAGACUCCUACGGGAGGCAGCAGUGAGGAAUAUUGGACAAUGGGCGGGAGCCUGAUCCAGCCAUGCCGCGUGCAGGAUGACUGCCCUAUGGGUUGUAAACUGCUUUUAUACGGGAAGAAACGCACCUACGUGUAGGUGUCUGACGGUACCGUAAGAAUAAGGACCGGCUAACUCCGUGCCAGCAGCCGCGGUAAUACGGAGGGUCCGAGCGUUAUCCGGAAUCAUUGGGUUUAAAGGGUCCGUAGGCGGGCCUGUAAGUCAGGGGUGAAAGUUUGUGGCUCAACCAUAAAAUUGCCUUUGAUACUGCAGGUCUUGAGUCAUGGUGGGGUUGCCGGAACAUGUGGUGUAGCGGUGAAAUGCAUAGAUAUCACAUAGAACACCGAUCGCGAAGGCAGGUGACCAACCAUGUACUGACGCUGAUGGA